UGGGGAAUCUUGCGCAAUGGGCGAAAGCCUGACGCAGCGACGCCGCGUGGGGGAUGAAGCUUCUCGGAGUGUAAACCCCUUUCGACCCGGACGAAACGCCCGCAAGGGCUUGACGGUACGGGUAUAAGAAGCCCCGGCUAACUACGUGCCAGCAGCCGCGGUAAGACGUAGGGGGCCAGCGUUGCUCGGAAUUACUGGGCGUAAAGGGUUCGUAGGCGGUGCGGUAAGUCGGAAGUGAAAUCUCUGGGCUUAACUCAGAGGCUGCUUUCGAAACUGCCGUGCUAGAGUGCGGGAGAGGCGAGUGGAAUUACAGGUGUAGCGGUGAAAUGCGUAGAUAUCUGUAGGAACACCCGUGGCGAAGGCGGCUCGCUGGACCGCAACUGACGCUGAGGAACGAAAGCUAGGGGAGCAAACAGGAUUAGAUACCCCCGUAGUCC
rnacentral:rRNA from 1 species